rnacentral:rRNA from 1 species
AAAUUGAAGAGUUUGAUCAUGGCUCAGAUUGAACGCUGGCGGCAGGCCUAACACAUGCAAGUCGAGCGGAAACGGCAGCAUUGAAGCUUCGGUGGAUUUGCUGGACGUCGAGCGGCGGACGGGUGAGUAACGGCUGGGAACCUGCCCUGACGCGGGGGAUAACCGUUGGAAACGACGGCUAAUACCGCAUAAUGUCUUAGUUCAUUACGAGCUGGGACCAAAGGUGGCCUCUACAUGUAAGCUAUCGCGUUGGGAUGGGCCCAGUUAGGAUUAGCUAGUUGGUAAGGUAAUGGCUUACCAAGGCGACGAUCCUUAGCUGGUUUGAGAGGAUGAUCAGCCACACUGGGACUGAGACACGGCCCAGACUCCUACGGGAGGCAGCAGUGGGGAAUAUUGCACAAUGGGGGAGACCCUGAUGCAGCCAUGCCGCGUGUGUGAAGAAGGCCUUCGGGUUGUAAAGCACUUUCAGCAGUGAGGAAGGUGGUGUACUUAAUAAGUGCAUAGCUUGACGUUAGCUGCAGAAGAAGCACCGGCUAACUCCGUGCCAGCAGCCGCGGUAAUACGGAGGGUGCGAGCGUUAAUCGGAAUUACUGGGCGUAAAGCGCAUGCAGGCGGUUUGUUAAGUCAGAUGUGAAAGCCCGGGGCUCAACCUCGGAACCGCAUUUGAAACUGGCAGGCUAGAGUCUUGUAGAGGGGGGUAGAAUUUCAGGUGUAGCGGUGAAAUGCGUAGAGAUCUGAAGGAAUACCAGUGGCGAAGGCGGCCCCCUGGACAAAGACUGACGCUCAGAUGCGAAAGCGUGGGUAGCAAACAGGAUUAGAUACCCUGGUAGUCCACGCCGUAAACGCUGUCUACUUGGAGGUUGAGGUUUAGACUUUGGCUUUCGGCGCUAACGCAUUAAGUAGACCGCCUGGGGAGUACGGCCGCAAGGUUAAAACUCAAAUGAAUUGACGGGGGCCCGCACAAGCGGUGGAGCAUGUGGUUUAAUUCGAUGCAACGCGAAGAACCUUACCUACUCUUGACAUCCAGAGAACUUUCCAGAGAUGGAUUGGUGCCUUCGGGAGCUCUGAGACAGGUGCUGCAUGGCUGUCGUCAGCUCGUGUUGUGAAAUGUUGGGUUAAGUCCCGCAACGAGCGCAACCCUUAUCCUUGUUUGCCAGCACAUAAUGGUGGGAACUCCAGGGAGACUGCCGGUGAUAAACCGGAGGAAGGUGGGGACGACGUCAAGUCAUCAUGGCCCUUACGAGUAGGGCUACACACGUGCUACAAUGGCAGAUACAGAGGGCAGCGAAGCUGCGAAGUGGAGCGAAUCCCUUAAAGUCUGUCGUAGUCCGGAUUGGAGUCUGCAACUCGACUCCAUGAAGUCGGAAUCGCUAGUAAUCGUGGAUCAGAAUGCCACGGUGAAUACGUUCCCGGGCCUUGUACACACCGCCCGUCACACCAUGGGAGUGGGCUGCACCAGAAGUAGAUAGCUUAACCUUCGGGAGGGCGUUUACCACGGUGUGGUUCAUGACUGGGGUGAAGUCGUAACAAGGUAGCCCUAGGGGAACCUGGGGCUGGAUCACCUCCUUA